rfam:Danio rerio chromosome 4, GRCz11 reference primary assembly.
GCCCGGCUACCUCAGUCGGUAGAGCAUGAGACUCUUAAUGUCAGGGUCGUAAGUUCGAGCCCCACGUUGGGCG